CGCAAUGGGCGAAAGCCUGACGGAGCGACGCCGCGUGGUUGAUGAAGCCCUUCGGGACGUAAAAACCUUUUAUGAUUAAGAAAGUUAUUGAUCUGAUCAUGAAUAAGGGGCUCCAAACUCUGUGCCAGCAGGAGCGGUAAUACAGAGGCCCCAAGCGUUAUCCGGAAUCACUGGGCGUAAAGGGUGUGUAGGUGGUUUUGUUAGUCUCUCGUUAAAGCUCCCGACCUAAUCGGGAAAAUGCGGGAGAUACGGCAAGACUUAGAGGGUGCGAGGGGUCUGUGGAACUCAUGGAGUAGGGGUGAAAUCCGUUGAUAUCAUGGGGAACACCAAAAGCGAAGGCAGCAGACUGGCGCAUUCCUGACACUGAAACACGAAAGCGU
rnacentral:rRNA from 1 species